UGGCUUUUCCGUAGUGUCGCUGUUGCGUUGGUUUAGCUCAGUGGUUACUUCUGUGAUCCCUGAAAAAUCAACCUUUCAUGGUCACCUCGGUGCCA
ensembl:miRNA dre-mir-733 dre-mir-733